rnacentral:tRNA from 1 species
CGGAGCGUAGCGCAGCCUGGUUAGCGCACCAGUCUGGGGGACUGGGGGUCGGAGGUUCAAAUCCUCUCGCUCCG